UAUAUGUAUACUAGAUAAGGCCCG
rnacentral:siRNA from 1 species